AACGAACGCUGGCGGCAGGCUUAACACAUGCAAGUCGAACGCAUCCUUCGGGGUGAGUGGCAGACGGGUGAGUAACGCGUGGGGACGUGCCCUUCAGUUCGGGAUAACCCAGGGAAACUUGGGCUAAUACCGGAUACGUGCGAGAGCAGAAAGAUUUAUUGCUGAAGGAUCGGCCCGCGUCUGAUUAGCUAGUUGGUGGGGUAAUGGCCCACCAAGGCGACGAUCAGUAGCUGGUCUGAGAGGAUGAUCAGCCACAUUGGGACUGAGACACGGCCCAAACUCCUACGGGAGGCAGCGGUGGGGAAUAUUGGACAAUGGGCGCAAGCCUGAUCCAGCCAUGCCGCGUGAGUGAUGAAGGCCUUAGGGUUGUAAAGCUCUUUCGUCCGGGACGAUAAUGACGGUACCGGAAGAAGAAGCCCCGGCUAACUUCGUGCCAGCCGCCGCCGUAACAC
rnacentral:rRNA from 1 species